GUCCAGGGAUGGGAAUCGAACCCACAAUGUUCUGUUUCCGGGCAGAUGCCAUGUCCACUAGGCUACCCUGGA
rnacentral:tRNA from 1 species